AAACAUAACGGCAGACAGUCAGCUAGCCGCACGUUCGUUCUGCAAUCGUUCGUUCAGGUUGAUGGGCUUUUCCGCACCGGACUGUCAAUCACAUAGUAAUAACCAGAGAGCGUCGUAACUCUAUGGUUUUGGCUCCAAAUCGACAACAUGGCCGCGCCCGCCAUUGAGCUUCAAAACGUGUUUUAGAGACCCACGGAGAGUCAAUGGGUGACGUCACAGUAGCUUUGUCCAUAUUUUUUACAGUCUCUGGUUUCAUCACGCCAUGCAGUGCUUCAAGUUUUCUCAAUAAAUACUUUUAAAUAUGCAGACAUUUUACCGGUUAAGCAGUUAGCUCCAACACGAUUAACGUUAGCAGGAAAGCUAUGGAAUAGCGAUAGAGCACUGCAUACGGUCCAGCAUUUUACACGACACACAAUAAUGCCACGUCAUUACUCCAGGGUCCUCAAGUCCACGGGGUGUCGCUAUUUAGGUCGGAACGAAUGUCUGAAAUGAAGCGGGCCACAAUUGAACGACGCACCUCCGAUAUUUCCGGCCAGUUCAGCGCGUCAGUGUUGUCAAAUCAAGAGCGGAGCAGGGAUAGCACAGCGGAGCCUGUCAAUUCAGCUGGACCCCUCAUUGUUAUCUAAUACUGCGAGCUCGUUAGAGUAUUCUGCACAAAAUGGUUCUGCUGACAAUGAUUGCUCGGUUGGCGGACGGGCUGCCGCUCGCUGCGUCAAUGCAAGAAGACGAACAGGGGAGUGUCAUCAUCCUGAAUGCCCCUGAUUGGGGGAAUGAAAGCCCUGAUCAGUAACUGAACAUUAUGAUCAGAGAAAUUGUUAGCCAGGGACGUCCUGGAUGGGAUAGAGAAGCAGAUUCCCUCUUUCCUGGGGUUGAAGUUCAGUGGUAGUGACCUGCUGGACUUUGGCCAGUGUGUCAGUUACUGUCCGUCGGACUGGUCAGUCCUUCACGACGUGG